GCAAAUUACAUUUACAUUGCCUUCUAAAACAUUACAGACAUUUUCUGUGUAGAUUUGCAUGACUUGUAAAAAAUCCAAAAUUUGUAUGCUGCUGGGUCUGGAAAAGGGUAAAAAUUGAAAUGAUUAGAGAGACUAAUGCAAUAACAAGAUGGUAAAAGAGGUUCUCAUUUCUAUACUUGGCAGCACAUAAAAGAGACAUAUUUGAACACUCCCCUACCACCUCCAGACCACAAUAUUAAAAGAGCAAUCUUAUUGUACAUCUUCGGCCACAAAUCAACGCCAGCACAAGAGACAAGAUCCAUUUGUCUCAGAAAGAAAACAUCUCUACAUCUGCAAAAUGGAUUUUACUAGCACAAGCCAUGAACGACCAAAAACAAAUAGCAGCAACAUCAACUGCAUUUAUUCUCUUCUCUCAGAAUCCAAUCCUGAUACAUAGAGCUCUUUAUCUAUUCCAAUCCUAAUAGCUUUGGUUCCGUUUCCAAUUACGUUGUUUAGUGCUGAAAUGCUCGAAAGGACUUAACAGGGACUAAGAAAAAGAAACAUAAAUAUGAAUU